rnacentral:rRNA from 1 species
AUGUCGACGGCGGUGGCGCGGCCCUUCGGCGGGUUCCCUGGAUCGGGGAGGGCCAAGGGGGAUGAGCUGCUCGGCAAGAAGAUGAGCGACGGGUUCUUCAUCGAGGAGGAGGAGGAAGAGGAGGCGGAGGAGGUGCUGACGGAGAGCUCCUCCAUCGGGGCGCCGUCGCCGUCGAGCUCUUCCAUCGGGGAGGACUCCUCGUCGGAGGUUGGUGGCGAAGGGGAAGACGAGGAGGUGGAGAGCAAGCUCAAGGAGGAGCCCGGGCUCGGGUGCCUGGACGCCCUGGAGGACUCCUUGCCCAUCAAGAACGGGCUGUCAAGCUUCUACGCCGGCAAGUCCAAGUCCUUCACCAGCCUCGCGGAGGCGGCGGCGCGGGACGCCGUGAAGGAGCUCGCCAAGCCGGAGAACCCCUUCAACAAGCGCCGCCGCAUUCUGGCCACCUGGUCGCGCCGCGCCUCCUGCAGCUCGCUGGCCACGGCCACCUACCUGCCCCCGCUCCUCGCCCCCGACCACGCCCUCCCCGAGGGCGACGAAGGCGAGGAAGACGACGACUCCGACUCCGGCUCCGACGAGCAGCACCGCGGCAAGAACGGGUGGGAGGCGCCGGCAUUGCCGCCCCCUCGGCUCAGCGUGAACACCCAGACCGGCGCAUCGGCGGCGAGGAGGGGCGGCAGCUUCAGGUCGCCGAGAUCGUAUUCACUGUCAGAUCUUCGAAACGGCGGUGAUGCUAGUUAUAAUCAGUAG